rnacentral:rRNA from 1 species
GCAGUCGAACGGAAGUCGUUACGAAAUGGAAUGAAGAUUUAUCUGAUUGAAGUUUUGUAACAAUGGCUUUAGUGGCGGACUGGUGAGUAACACGUAAGCAAUCUACCUAUUAGAGGGGAAUAACAAUGAGAAAUCAUUGCUAAUACCGCAUAAGCUUGUAGUACCGCAUGGUACAGCAAGAAAAGGAGCAAUCCGCUAAUAGAUGAGCUUGCGGCUGAUUAGCUAGUUGGUGUGGUAACGGCAUACCAAGGCAGCGAUCAGUAGCCGGGCUGAGAGGCUCUUCGGCCACAUUGGGACUGAGAUACGGCCCAGACUCCUACGGGAGGCAGCAGUCGGGAAUUUUGCGCAAUGGAGGAAACUCUGACGCAGUGACGCCGCGUAUAGGAAGAAGGUUUUCGGAUUGUAAACUAUUUUAGUCAGGGAAGAAAAAUGACAGUACCUGAAGAAUAAGCUCCGGCUAACUACGUGCCAGCAGCCGCGGUAAUACGUAGGGAGCAAGCGUUAUCCGGAUUUAUUGGGUGUAAAGGGUGCGUAGACGGGAAGACAAGUUGGUUGUGAAAGCCCUCGGCUCAACUGAGGAACUGCAACCAAAACUAUCAUUCUUGAGUGCGGGAGAGGAAAGUGGAAUUCCUAGUGUAGCGGUGAAAUGCGUAGAUAUUAGGAGGAACACCAGU